AGAAUUUAGCAGAGAUGCUUUAGUGCCUUCGGGAACUCUGAGACAGGUGCUGCAUGGCUGUCGUCAGCUCGUGUUGUGAAAUGUUGGGUUAAGUCCCGCAACGAGCGCAAUCCUUAUCCUUUGUUGCCAGCACGUAAUGGUGGGAACUCAAAGGAGACUGCCGGUGAUAAACCGGAGGAAGGUGGGGAUGACGUCAAGUCAUCAUGGCCCUUACGAGUAGGGCUACACACGUGCUACAAUGGCGCAUACAAAGAGAAGCGACCUCGCGAGAGCAAGCGGACCUCAUAAAGUGCGUCGUAGUCCGGAUUGGAGUCUGCAACUCGACUCCAUGAAGUCGGAAUCGCUAGUAAUCGUAAAUCAGAAUGUUACGGUGAAUACGUUCCCGGGCCUUGUACACACCGCCCGUCACACCAUGGGAGUGGGUUGCAAAAGAAGUAGAUAGCUUAACCUUCGGGAGGGCGUUUACCACUUUGUGAUUCAUGACUGGGGUGAAGUCGUAACAAGGUAAGCGUAGUGCU
rnacentral:rRNA from 1 species